rnacentral:rRNA from 1 species
AACAAACGCUGGCGGCGUGCCUAACACAUGCAAGUCGUACGAGAAAGUUGGCUUCGGCCGAUAAGUAAAGUGGCGCACGGGUGAGUAACGCGUGGAUAAUCUACCCUUUAGUCUGGAAUAACUUACCGAAAGGUGAACUAAUACCGGAUAAUAUCUCAAUUUCCCCGGAAAUCGGGCUCAAAGAAGGACUCUGCUUGCAAGCUUUUGCUGAAGGAUGAGUCCGCGUACCAUUAGCUAGUUGGUAGGGUAACGGCCUACCAAGGCAACGAUGGUUAGCUGGUCUGAGAGGAUGAUCAGCCACACUGGAACUGAGACACGGUCCAGACUCCUACGGGAGGCAGCAGUGAGGAAUAUUGCGCAAUGGGGGCAACCCUGAUCCAGCGAUGCCGCGUGGGUGAAGAAGGCCUUCGGGUUGUAAAGCCCUUUAGGCUGGGAAGAAGUUUAUGGGAUGAAUAAUCCUGUAAAUUGACGGUACCAGCAGGAUAAGCACCGGCAAACUCUGUGCCAGCCGCCGCCGUAACAC